CCUCCCUGAUUAUGCUUCCGAAAACAAUAGUGUUCUCUAACAUAAAGGGCACUCCUUUCCAUAUUUCUUUCUUCUUUCUGUAUUUCUAUUUUCUUGUUCGUGGGUUUGGAUUUUGGACUGCGAAGUUGAAGAAGUGAGAAAAAGGGCCCUUUGGGAUGUUACAAAAUGAUGGUUCAAAAAUUUCGAGUGUACAGAAUUUUAAGUGUACAGAAUGUGUAUAGAUCUCACAAAAUGAAUGGCCCCUCAUGAAUAUUUUAUUGCCAAAAAAUCUGAUCUUUUUUAUCUCGGAGUUACUGUUCUUGGUUUCGCCACCGACUUGAUUUUCUCUUGUUUUCAAGGUCUUUAUUGUUCUGCAUCUUCAUUGCUCACCUAGAGCAAGGUGAGGGUGAAUGCAAUUGUUCAGAAACAUGGUUUGUCAUUGUGCAGCCCUUUUAUGAAAAUUAUGUACAUAGAGUGUCUUGGAUGAAAAGUAACAGGUAAACCCAACCAGCAUUUUACAGGUUUGUUGAAAUCUAAAUUUAAUUAAAUAAUUGUGUUGACUUUGACUUUGAGCAUGUUGUUUGUAUGGUAUCCUUUUGGUUGUUGAAUUCCAUUUGGUAGGCUUUUUAUUUUCCCUCUUUUGAAGCUAUUUUGCUGCUGAGAAGUAACAACUAAGAGCUCAAAGAUCACUGCUCAAAGAAGUAACAAGUAUGUGUGAAGGAGUGUCGAUGAUGCGCAGACCGUAUUUCGCGGACCAAAUGGUGAAUACAAGGUACCUGACUAAUGUAUGGAAAAUAGCCCUCGAAUUGGAGGACCUAUAGAGAGGAGGGGCAUUGAGAAAACCAUUAGGACGCUCAUGGGGGAUAAAGAAGGCAAGAAAAUGAGACAGAGAGCACUCAAAAUGAAACAAGAACUUGAGUUUUCUGUACAGAGAGGAGGUUCUUCAUAGAAAUCGUUAGAAAAUCUAGUAGUGUUUAUCAUGUCAUUCACACAACAAAAAUGACUAGGCCACUACGAUUCCUGAGCUGAGGGAUUGAAGUCAAAUUAAGUUAUAUUUCUAUAAUUUUAUGUAGUAUAUGUUAAUUGGGUACCUCAAAAUCCGGUUGAAAUCUUCGAGAUGGUGUGAGUGUUUUGAAUUUGGAAAGGAAUCAAUAGCAUCCAAUAUUAUGGAAAUAAAAUCUGGGCGCUGGAUUUUUAAUUUUUUCUUUUUCACGUGAUUUUGCCUAGUUUCCAACUUUAACCUAAUUUCUAGAGUUUGGCUCAUGCACUAUAAAUUAAUGGCUUGCUUUUCUGUUAGUUUUUUGAGAAGCAUUAUUGCUUUCUGUAUUAUUCUCUUCCUAUUGUCGGGUUUAAUAAAAUUCAUCGUUCAUUUGCUUAGUUUCUUUUUUGUACUUUACUUUAAUCUUGUUUUCGUUGUGCGAUCUUGAAUAUUUCAUUAUUGUCAUUAAAUCUCAAUCUUGUGUCGCCUUUGAACUCAACAAGUGGUAUCAGAGCACAAGUUGCAGGUUCUUCAUGAUUUGGUUGAGAAUUUUCAAGGAUGAAUUCGUUGAAGUAUGAAAUUCUGCUAUUGGAUUGUAAUACAAGAUUUUCCCUGUAGCAAGUAAAGGUGAAGGCUGUGUUGACGCAGAUAGAUCUUGACAAUGCUUUGCUGGAUUUUGAGAGGAUGCCAGCAAAUUUGUAUACAGAGGAGAAACAACGAAGGGAUCGAAAGGCUUUAGCGCAGAUUCAUCUUCAUUGAUCUAACAAUAUUCUGCAGGAUGUCUUAAAGGAGAAGAUGGCCACUGCUUUGUGGCUCAAGUUGGAGUAGUUGUGCAUGACAAAGAGUUUGACGAGCAAACUGACUCUAAAGUAGAAGUUGAAUUUCCAUCGUAUGGCAGAAGGAGGGUCACUGCAAAACCAUCUUGCUGUGUUCAAGGAGAUUGUUGCAGAUUUGGAGACGUUGGAUGUAAAAUAUGAUUAAGAUCUGGCCUUGAUCCUAUUAUUGUUCGCUACUCAGUUCUUUUUCGUCGUUUCAAAUAUACUAUAAUGAUCUACUUGACAAAUAGAAUAAGUUAGUUUAUUUUUAUUUA